AUUACUCUGGGAGUCGUAUGUAUCGGCUCACGAUCAGGGACAAUCGAUUUUGACAAAAGUGAAUGUGCAGUGUGGAAUUACGAACCAACCGAAUUCUUUUAUUUUUAACAAUGGGUGAAUGUAAUAUUCAAUGAUGUACUAUCAUCGACACGUCAUUUCUGAAAGCAGCCGGUGAAUCGAAUGUGCGUUCUUAGGCAAUUAUAGCCCUGAAUAACCGAUUCACUCUUUCUCUUCCACCUCGCACCAUUGCGUGAGAUUCUCUUCUUUCCUCUUUUACAGUUAUGGGACUGAACUAUGGGGUUCUGGAAAUGACUGAAUUGCGAACAGAGCAAGUGGAUCAUUAUUGCCGAUAUGAAGAUAGCCGACUAGCUUAUUGGACAUCGAUGACAAAUAUGUAAUACUUUUUCAAAUACAAUCAUACGUGUCUUAAUUGAAAAGAUUUACAAGUUUAAUCAGGAAACCUCCGACAGAGUUUGUUUUUAGAACUACCAAUCGCAGAAAAAAGACAAUGUGGGCACUUACGCGGUUUUAUUUCACGCAUGAAUCAGCCCAAACGUCUGACAGGAAGUCAUAGCCAUUCGCAUUCCGGUGGUAUUGCAGGAAUGAAUUUUCGCUUUAGGCAACUAUCGGAUGCCUCGCUGAUCCAAGAUAAAGGGUCGAAGAAAAAAGGACUUCCCGUCGUUAUUAUCCGCCGUAAAAUUUGGGAAAAUUGGCUGAAUGAUAUCUCCUGUCCGAGUCCCCACCUCGAGGCAGAGUCGAUCUUCACCGAUUACUCCAGGUUUUGAAAUCAACCUUAGUCGCCGUUGUCCACCAAAGAAGUACCAUCGGAAAAAUUAACUGUAUUGUAUAUUAUGAAAUAUUAUGUUGGAGUCAGUGCAGAUACAAUAGGAUACAAAAUUCAUAUUUAUGUCACAAGUUCUAAUUAUUGAGAUCUUACAGGCUCCAAUUAUUUUUAAUAUGUCAAUGUCUA